rnacentral:sRNA from 2 species
AGGGACCACGCGUACACGUCGUUCCUGAGCGCCCCGUCGAUACCCACCUGACGGCUGCUCGCUACGUUUUUUCAGCC